rnacentral:lncRNA from 1 species
AUUUUAAUUGUUGAUUGGUUGGACUGCAAUAAGAUAAAUGUACUUGUUUCAAACUGUCCAUUUAACAGUUUUUGUUUGCCAUUACAACAAUCAGAAAUGGGCAAUUAUAUACAUUUCUAUCUCAUAUUUUCAGGAAUGUGUUUUGCCACCGCAUGCACCAAUCAACUUCAUUUUUGGUAAGUGUAAUGCACAACAUUUUUUUAGUAUUUUAAUUAAUUUUUUAUGCAUGUACAGUAUUGAUUAUUUUGUAUUUAAAUGAUUUUUUUUUUCUAUUUAUGAGUGAUUUUAAUGUUUCUGGGAGUGC